rnacentral:rRNA from 1 species
AACGAACGCUGGCGGCAGGCCUAACACAUGCAAGUCGAACGUGAAGCUAGACUUCGGUUUAGUGGAAAGUGGCGCACGGGUGAGUAACGCGUAGGAAUUUACCCAGCAGUACGGAAUAACCAUCGGAAACGGUGGCUAAUACCGAAUACGCCCUCCGGGGGAAAGAUUUAUCGCUGUUGGAUGAGCCUGCGUCGGAUUAGCUUGUUGGUGGGGUAAAAGCCUACCAAGGCUACAAUCCGUAGCUGGUCUGAGAGGAUGACCAGCCACACUGGGACUGAGACACGGCCCAG